UCAUCAGGGUCUCCUCCCCGAUCAAUCUAGAUCGAGGCGGUCAAUGAGCGUGCGGGGCGGCAGGCGGAUCUCCUGCUCGAUCUAGUCAAGUGAGGUCUAUGAAGAGUGAUGGCUGACGGGUUGGACGCGCAGAACUUCCGAGGCGGCCGGAUCCAGGCGAGCGGCGGCGGGACAAACAAGGCAUCGGGGUUCUCCCGGGCGGCACCACGGUUGCUCCGGCGUGCUCCUGAAAGAAAAGGAGGGAGGACAAGAGAGAGGGAAAGAGAAAACCGGGAGGAAGGAGAGAAACGAGGGGGAGGCACGACAGGAGGCUGUGCUGUUGGUUUCUCCGAUGAAGAGGAGAUAGGGCGCCGACGUUCGCGGGAGUGGGCGGCAUUUGGCAAAGGAGGCGCUGGUCGGGGAGCGCAUAGUGCGGGACUCCCAGGGGGAGAUGGACGAGGACAAGGAUGGUCUGGUGCGCUGCUGGUGCGGGGAGGGCAGGGGAGAGGGACGACUGCUCUGUAUGUUGUGCGCCGCUGCUACUGCUAAUCUCAUGUGGAGGACACGCAGGGGCGGACGGCGAGCGAGGGGAGGAUUUAUCUGGGACCUGAAUUUGAUAGGUAAAAGCUGGUUUGUUUGCUGCUGGCUGGCUUAGUGUGAUGCUAUAUUGCGUUAUGGAGAGGUACAAAGGUUACAUACAGGACCAUGCAUGAAUGUUUCAUCUACUGGAUUUUUGGGUAAAGUAUUGAUUCCUCGACCCCCUUCCUAUGAUUAAUGAUUGGCAAUUAAUCCUGGGCUAUGGUACUACAAUGUCUACUCGGUAAGUUCCCUUACCACUAUAUCUUUUUUAUGCCAACAAUAAUUCUUUUCACAAGCAAAGCCAGCAUUCGAGUGUGUGCAGAGAUGUCUCAAAAGGAUAAUAGCUCAGUGGAACUACAAUGUCUACUCGGCAAGUGGGUGAGCUCUCACAUCCCUCUCCGUCUCCUUUGAUUGGUUGCAGAUUUCUUCGAAGAACAUGAGCUUUGUAUGUUGAUUGCCCCCGUGUACUAUUUACUUCUAAUUUCUUUUGUAUCGUGUAUAUGCUAAUUGUUUUCCUUUACCCUGUGCACAGCUAUUGUGCUCUAGCACCAAUAUAUAUUUUUUGGAUUAAUAAUUGCAGCCUAUCAUUAAGUUGCCGCAAAACUAUAACCAGUGUCAAAAUCCUUAUUUUAGUCAGGACAAUUAACUAUUGAAAAAACCAAAAGUAGCUGCAUUAAUUCAGUACUUGACAUGGUAAUGCCAUCAUUCAGUAUUUGGAGUAGAUGCUACAGUUAUAAUGAAACAUCAGGAUUCUUGUACUUGUAUCCUGUAUACACUAACUAUUUUAGAUACCUGAUACUGCAGCUACAGUAUGAAGUCUCAAAAUAAAAAGAAACAUAACAUUAAGUUGUUCUCUAGCAAUGCACAAGGAAACUGGGAAGCACAUAGAUGUAGCUGGAAGUAACUCAAAACUGCAGAUGAUCGCACUGGUAGAAAAGACUUAAAUUAACAGUUCAAGCACAUAUCUUGGUUUCUUCCUGUAGUCUGAAGAAAAGCUCCAACACACAAUGAAACGGCAACAAAGAAGAAGCCAAUAAUUAACCUUUUUGUGGGAAAAUAAUUAAUUAACCUUUCCUAAAUAGAAAAACAAAUUGUUCUCAGGGUCCAAUCUAAGUUUCUGAGAUGCAAUAUGGAAGAUGCCACAUCCUCACAGAUCUUCAUCUCAACAACGUGUAUAUAACCUCCUUCAGAAACUUGAACAUUGAUCUAUAGAAAACCCAUUUAUUCUAUGAUCAUUUGUUUAGCUGAUCUUUUGCAUUUUGCAAAUACAUACAGUUCUCGCUAAAUUUGAAAAUGUCGUUUUCUUCGCCCGUUGCAACGCACGGGCAUGUUUGCUACAUAUACUACAACUUAAAUAAAUUAUGUUCUUUUAAGCACGACUGCUAUAUUUUAAAUCAUUAGGAUAUGAAUUGAUCCAA